AAAAGUUUGCAUUGUUUGGGAGGAAUUUUAGCGGAUGACCAGGGCCUUGGAAAGACAGUUUCUAUGAUUUCACUCAUUCAAUUGCAGAAGUCCUCACAAUCAAAGGCAAAACUGGAAGAUGGAAGCAAAACAAAAGCUGAAGCUUUGAAUUUGGAUGACGACGAUGAUAAUGGCACUGGCACUGGUACUGGCACUGCUGAUUCAGAUAAAAUGCAGCAGCCUGGAG
rnacentral:misc_RNA from 1 species